CCAUUGACAUUCGGUGAGGGCGCUUUUCUCGCGCAUGUCAGUUGAAAACUUCCGGGUAGAAGAAAAGAAGAUUGAAACGAAAAGUUACCUCAUAAAAACAUUAAUUUAGCUUUUGAAAACUCCCUCACAGUAAAUGGCUCUCAAAAGAAUAAAUAAAGAAUUACAGGACUUGGGCAGGGACCCUCCAGCACAAUGUUCAGCAGGACCUGUGGGGGAUGACUUAUUUCAUUGGCAAGCCACAAUAAUGGGUCCUCCCGACAGUCCAUACCAAGGUGGUGUGUUUUUCCUCACUAUACAUUUUCCAACAGAUUACCCUUUUAAACCACCGAAGGUUGCCUUUACAACUAGAAUAUAUCAUCCGAAUAUAAACAGUAAUGGUAGUAUCUGUCUAGAUAUUCUGCGAUCACAAUGGUCACCUGCUUUAACUAUAUCUAAAGUAUUUCUUGAGUUAACUUUGCAACGCUGAAUAUGUGACACUUGCAUUCAGAUCAGUGCUUGUUUUAACUCCAGAAGUGUUCUCGAGAAGAUUUCGGCUCUAACUGUCGGCUUUUUACAUGGUUGAAAUUUUAUGAGAAGAUGUUUAUUAAAUCUUCCAGAAUAUAAAUUUUGCUGUCGGUAUGCUCCUUGUUAUGUGAUCCAAACCCAGAUGACCCACUAGUUCCAGAAAUUGCACGCAUCUUCAAAACAGACAGAGACAAGUAUAAUCAGUUAGCAAAAGAAUGGA
rnacentral:misc_RNA from 1 species